CUACGGGACGCACCAGGCGAGAAAACUUUGCAAUGUGCGAAAGCACGACAAGGUUAAUCCGAGUGGUUUCUGCUAAAGGAACCUUUUGUCGGUCCUAGAAACACCGAUGAAUAAGGGGUGGGCAAGUUCUGGUGUCAGCCGCCGCGGUAAAACCAGCACCUCGAGUGGUCAGGAGAUUAUUGGGCCUAAAGCAUCCGUAGCCGGCUCUGUAAGUUAUCGGUUAAAUCUGUACGCUUAACGUACAGGCUGCCGGGAAUACUGCAUAGCUAGGGAGUGGGAGAGGUAGACGGUACUCGGUAGGAAGGGGUAAAAUCCUUUGAUCUAUUGAUGACCACCUGUGGCGAAGGCGGUCUACCAGAACACGUCCGACGGUGAGGGAUGAAAGCUGGGGGAGCAAACCGGAUUAGAUACCCCUGUAGUC
rnacentral:rRNA from 1 species